rnacentral:ncRNA from 2 species
GGACGAGCCUCUGGAGAGAUCGCAACUCGCUUAGAUUUUAUCGAGUCAUUAUGCGGCGCCGAAGACGAAAGUGCCUAAGUGAGCUAUUCACUUAGGCGCGAAACGCUCAGGCAAAAAGGACAGAGGAGAGGAU